AACGAACGUUGGCGGCAUGGAUUAGGCAUGCAAGUCGGGGGAAUCCCAGCAAUGGGGGAACCGGCGUAAGGGGCAGUAAGGCAUGGGUACCUACCCUGAAGUUCGGGAUAGCCAUCAGAGAUGGUGGGUAAUACCGGAUGAUGUCGUGAGACCAAAGAUUUAUCGCUUUGGGAGGGGCCCAUGUGAUAUUAGCUAGUUGGUGAGGUAACGGCUCACCAAGGCGAAGAUGUCUAGCGGGUAUGAGAGUACGACCCGCGCCACUCGCACUGAGACACUGGCGAGACACCUACGGGAGGCUG
rnacentral:rRNA from 1 species